rnacentral:sRNA from 1 species
UUCUUCCUCGGUCCAGGCCCAGAUGCCCCUCCUCAGCGGCAGGGGCUCCUGCUAUUUGAAGAAAGAGCAGUCCAGGGUGGGGCCUACAAUUUCAAGGACUGUGCUAAGCCUUUCUUUUUCUCCCUUUCGAGUGUCCUUUGCAGUCCAGCUGGGUCUCCUCUGUGCCUUAUUGUGUUUUAUCGGCCUUUUUGUGCGGCUCUGCGUAGGUAGAUGCCUCUCGGCGUGUUGGUACUGGAAGGCCAUCCUGUGUCUGCUGGAUGCCCUGCCUCCCUCAAAGCCUCCGUUAUUUCACUCUCCGCCUUGUGAGGGGGACGGGACUCCUUUGCCCAGCAAGGUUGCAAUGGAGAGUGUGGUCGUAUGAAGCCAUCACCCCAAUUUUAGGCGAGGCAACUAGCCAGUGGGGAUGGUGGGUGGAAGGAGCUGUCCACUGAGGCAGGUUUGGGUGGGGAACAAAUCAGGUCUGCUGGUAGGAGCGGAGGCAGGUGGGAGUGCAGCGGAUGGUGUCACCCUCCCCCAGGAAUGCAUCCUGUCGGGCAUCAUGUCUGUGAACGGGAAGAAGGUGCUGCACAUGGACCGGAACCCCUACUACGGGGGCGAGAGCUCCUCCAUCACACCCCUGGAGGAGCUGUAUAAGCGUUUUCAGUUGCUGGAGGGGCCCCCUGAGUCGAUGGGCCGAGGCCGAGACUGGAACGUUGACCUGAUUCCCAAAUUCCUCAUGGCUAACGGGCAGCUGGUAAAGAUGCUACUGUAUACAGAGGUGACUCGCUACCUGGACUUCAAGGUGGUGGAGGGCAGCUUUGUCUACAAGGGGGGCAAGAUCUACAAAGUGCCGUCCACUGAGACUGAGGCCUUGGCUUCCAAUCUGAUGGGCAUGUUUGAGAAACGGCGCUUCCGCAAGUUCCUGGUGUUUGUGGCAAACUUCGAUGAGAAUGACCCCAAGACCUUUGAGGGCGUUGACCCCCAGACUACCAGCAUGCGUGACGUCUACCGGAAGUUUGAUCUGGGCCAGGAUGUCAUCGAUUUCACUGGCCAUGCCCUGGCGCUCUACCGCACUGAUGAGUGAGGGGAAGCUGGGUGGUGGUAGCCCCCUCGCCCGGCCCGCCCCCGCCCUUCCCACACCUGCCUGCUGUCCCCCUGCCCCGCAUGUCUCUUGUACUCAGCCACCGGCUCACCUAUCACCCUUUCCAUUUCCCCCUUGCAUUUGAUCCUCAUCUUCCCCAGGCCAUUCAGGGUGGUGGGAAGACUGGCCUGGUACCUGGGUGGGGGUAAGUCAGGGGUGCUGCUAUUCCCCCAGCUACCUGGACCAGCCCUGCCUUGAGACCGUCAACCGCAUCAAGUUGUACAGUGAGUCCCUGGCCCGGUAUGGCAAGAGCCCGUAUUUAUACCCGCUCUACGGCUUGGGCGAGCUGCCCCAGGGUUUUGCAAGGUGAGGACAUGGGUUUUUUCAGUUGGCAUAGCUGAGUAGGACUAGGGCCAGGAGUGGAGAUGGCCCCCUUGAGCAUUUUCUUGGUAGUAUUUCCUCCUUUCCAAUUCGUGCUCUUCAUUUACUUCACUCCAUCCUUGGGUGAUGAGGGCACAACCCCAGUGCACUGAAGUACAGAAGUCUCCACACUUGAAAAAACGAAUCUCCACAAAUGUGACUUGCUCAGUUCCCGGCAGCACCAGGACUGGGCCCAGGGUCCCAGAACCUUGAGUCAGGGCUUAGCUGGGAGCUGACCUAUCUCCAGAGAGUCCAUUCUGGUCCCUCAGGCUGUCUUGGUGCGGAGCACUGAUCCCUCAUGCCCCCUCCCGCUGGCCCUUGGCAGUGUAUUCUGAGCAGAAGCUCCAGAGAGGAAAGAGCCCGCGGAGAUGGGGCCAGCGUUCACGGCAGUGACAGAGCUGGGAUGAAUCCCGGCGUCUCCUGCCUGCUGCCUGCCUGGGGCAGCCUUCUUUGCACUUUGGUGGAGGAAGGGUGCAGUGGAAUUGGUCCCCGUUUCUCCUGGGAGGGGCCUUCACCGGAGCUGCUCUCACCACAGAUUGAGUGCCAUCUAUGGGGGGACAUAUAUGCUGAACAAACCUGUGGAUGACAUCAUCAUGGAGAACGGCAAGGUGGUGGGCGUGAAGUCUGAGGGAGAGGUGAGCCCUUCCCGUGCAUGCAGUGCAGUCCCAUGGUUGAGGCGGGGCUUGGUCACUUUCUCUGUGCUGUCGAGUCUCCUGCUGCACAGCCCCAAGGAUCUUGGAGCUGGGAACUGGGGGUCCAGAAGUCUUCAGAAUCGUGACUGUGGGUGAGAGGUCUCUUUCAGAGGCCACAUGCCAUGUCUGUGGUGCAGAAAGUGUUCUUGAUCACAGUGCCUCUGGGGGGUGGGGUGGGGGCGGGGGUGGGGGUGGGGUGGGGGCGGGGGUGGGGGCGGGCACCCAGCCCGUGCGUCAAGGCCCACCUAUCUGAGCGGCAGGGUAGGGCCAUGCAUUCAGGAGGGGCAGUAGUGAUGGCUCCGAGGAGCGUCUUGUCUGCCAGAGCUGCCUGCCCUUGCUGUGAGCACAGCCCCACGUCUACCUAAGGGAGGGAUGUGACAGGGGCGAGGACUUCUGGUGCCUUCUCAGGUGGCCCGCUGCAAGCAGCUGAUCUGUGACCCCAGCUACAUCCCGGACCGUGUGCGGAAGGCUGGCCAGGUUAUCCGCAUCAUCUGUAUCCUUAGCCACCCCAUCAAGAACACCAACGACGCCAACUCCUGCCAAAUAAUCAUCCCCCAGAACCAGGUCAACAGGAAGUCAGACAUCUACGUGUGCAUGAUCUCCUAUGCACACAACGUGGCGGCCCAGGGCAAGUACAUAGCUAUUGCCAGCACUACUGUGGAGACCACGGACCCUGAAAAGGAGGUGGAGCCGGCUCUGGAGCUGUUGGAGCCCAUAGACCAGAAGUGAGGGACUGGGCUGAGCCCAAGGGGGAGAGGGAGGGAGCCCAGCAGCUGGGCUUGGGGACCAGGAAGGGCAUGGCCCAUUGUGAGGCCUGUCCCCUCCCCUCUGUCUGCCCCUCAGGUUUGUGGCUAUCAGUGACUUGUAUGAGCCCAUUGAUGAUGGUUGUGAGAGCCAGGUAAGCAGCUCGUCCCAGCCCUGGCUCCUGGCUGCCCGCCCAGGACACCUGCCUGACUCACCCUGGGCGCUGGGCUCUGGCUGUUUCCAGGUGUUCUGUUCCUGCUCCUACGAUGCCACCACACACUUUGAGACAACCUGCAACGACAUCAAAGACAUCUACAAACGCAUGGCUGGCACGGCCUUUGACUUUGAGAACAUGAAGCGCAAACAGAACGACGUCUUUGGAGAAGCUGAGCAGUGAUUGUGGCCGCCCCCAGCCGCUGCUGCCCCAGCCUGUGUCUGUUCUCCUCGAGGGCUCCAGCAUCCUCUGCUUCCCCCACCACGUUCCCAUCACCCACCUCAUUGAUCCACUGACCAAAUCCUUAACCCUAGCGAUGGCUUGGGAGAUGGGGGGUUGGAUGGCAUCCUCUUUCUUGGCCCUUCCUUAUCCUAGGAAAAGAGGGUUCCUCUCCUUGUGUGUGUCUCUUCCCCCCACCCCUAAUUCUUCUGCUCUGUUUGGGAAGACGUGGAGGAAAAGGUGACUUCUGCCCCCACCGCUCUUACCCCCACUGUAGUGGCCUUUGGAGAUGCCCCCACCUCCCCCCCACCAACUCUUGCGUGUUGGAGAGAAGGGGCCCUCCCAGCACAAAGUUGCAUUCCUCCCCCCUAAUUUAUUCUAAUUUAUUAACUUUGACCCACCCUUUCUGAGCCUGCAGCCUUCCCGUGUGGCCUGAGGGCUGUAGAGUGAGCUGUCCCAGCCCCUCCCAGCCCUUGCCCAGCCUGGGGGAGUGGGGAAGGCUUGGGCAUGGCCCCGUUGGAGGUUGAUUUGCUGUUUUGUUUCUUGUCUUUGUGUUCUGUGGUACUUGCUGAGAGAAAAGAAAAGUGAGCAAAGCAGAAGGAGGUGGGAAAACGGACCCAAACCCCAGUGUGCCCUGCCCCAUGCCUUUCCUUUAGUGGUGGGAAACCCUUAUCUUGCAAAGUGAAUGUGUCCCCUUCCCCACCCUCUAGUGUAUUUCACAGAAAACAAAACCUCCCAAUAAAACGGUUGAAACCUG